UACGAAGGGGGCUAGCGUUGCUCGGAAUCACUGGGCGUAAAGCGCACGUAGGCGGCUUUUUAAGUCAGGGGUGAAAUCCUGGAGCUCAACUCCAGAACUGCCUUUGAUACUGAGAAGCUUGAGUCCGGGAGAGGUGAGUGGAACUGGCGAGUGUAGAGGUGAAAUUCGUAGAUAUUCGCAAGAACACCAGUGGCGAAGGCGGCUCACUGGCCCGGUACUGACGCUGAGGAGCGAAAGCGUGGGGAGCGAACGAG
rnacentral:rRNA from 1 species